UACGUAGGGUGCGAGCGUUGCCCGGAUUUAUUGGGCGUAAAGGGCGCGUAGGCGGCUCGGCACGUCCGUUGUGAAAUCGCCCGGCUCAACUGGGCGGGGUCAGCGGAUGCGGUCGAGCUUGAGCAAGCUAGGGGGUAAUGGAAUUCCCGGUGUAGUGGUGGAAUGCGUAGAUAUCGGGAGGAACACCAGUGGCGAAGGCGGGACUCUGGGCCGAUACUGACGCUGAGGAGCGAAAGCGUGGGGAGCGAACAGG
rnacentral:rRNA from 1 species